UACGGAGGGUGCAAGCGUUAUCCGGAUUCACUGGGUUUAAAGGGUGCGUAGGUGGGUUGGUAAGUCCGUGGUGAAAUCUCCGAGCUUAACUCGGAAACUGCCGUGGAUACUAUCAAUCUUGAAUACUGUGGAGGUAAGCGGAAUAUGUCAUGUAGCGGUGAAAAUGCUUAGAUAUGACAUAGAACACCGAUAGCGGAGGCAGCUUGUUACACAGUCAUUGACACUGAGGCACGAAAAGCGUGGGGGAUCAAA
rnacentral:rRNA from 1 species